GUGGGGAAUAUUGGACAAUGGGGGGAACCCUGAUCCAGCCAUGCCGCGUGUGUGAAGAAGGCCUUUUGGUUGUAAAGCACUUUAAGCGAGGAGGAGGCUACCGAGAUUAAUACUCUUGGAUAGUGGACGUUACUCGCAGAAUAAGCACCGGCUAACUCUGUGACAGCAGCCGCGGUAAUACAGAGGGUGCAAGCGUUAAUCGGAUUUACUGGGCGUAAAGCGCGCGUAGGUGGCCAAUUAAGUCAAAUGUGAAAUCCCCGAGCUUAACUUUGGAAUUGCAUUCGAUACUGGUUGGCUAGAGUAUGGGAGAGGAUGGUAGAAUUCCAGGUGUAGCGGUGAAAUGCGUAGAGAUCUGGAGGAAUACCGAUGGCGAAGGCAGCCAUCUGGCCUAAUACUGACACUGAGGUGCGAAAGCAUGGGGAGCAAACAGGAUUAGAAACCCUUUAGUCC
rnacentral:rRNA from 1 species